rnacentral:rRNA from 1 species
AGGGUCCUACGGGAGGCAGCAGUGGGGAAUAUUGCACAAUGGGGGGAACCCUGAUGCAGCGACGCCGCGUGAGUGAAGAAGUAUUUCGGUAUGUAAAGCUCUAUCAGCAGGGAAGAAGAUGACGGUACCUGACUAAGAAGCCCCGGCUAACUACGUGCCAGCAGCCGCGGUAAUACGUAGGGGGCAAGCGUUAUCCGGAUUUAUUGGGUUUAAAGGGUGCGCAGGCGGUCUGUUAAGUCAGCGGUCAAAGCCCGGGGCUCAACCCCGGCCCGCC